rnacentral:rRNA from 1 species
GAUGAACGCUGGCGGCGUGCCUAAUACAUGCAAGUCGAGCGAAUGGAUUAAGAGCUUGCCCUUAUGAAGUUAGCGGCGGACGGGUGAGUAACACGUGGGUAACCUGCCCAUAAGACUGGGAUAACUCCGGGAAACCGGGGCUAAUACCGGAUAACAUUUUGAACCGCAUGGUUCGAAAUUGAAAGGCGGCUUCGGCUGUCACUUAUGGAUGGACCCGCGUCGCAUUAGCUAGUUGGGGAGGUAACGGCUCACCAAGGCAACGAUGCGUAGCCGACCUGAGAGGGUGAUCGGCCACACUGGGACUGAGACACGGCCCAGACUCCUACGGGAGGCAGCAGUAGGGAAUCUUCCGCAACGGACGAAAGUCUGACGGAGCAACGCCGCGUGAGUGAUGAAGGCUUUCGGGUCGUAAAACUCUGUUGUUAGGGAAGAACAAGUGCUAGUUGAAUAAGCUGGCACCUUGACGGUACCUAACCAGAAAGCCACGGCUAACUACGUGCCAGCAGCCGCAGUAA